rnacentral:rRNA from 1 species
GGUCAAGCGACUAAGUGCAUGUGGUGGAUGCCUUGGCGAUCACAGGCGAUGAAGGACGUUGUAGUCUGCGAAAAGCUUCGGGGAGCUGACAAACAAGCAUUGAUCCGGAGAUGUCCGAAUGGGGAAACCCACCCGCAAGGGUAUCCCGUGCUGAAUACAUAGGCACGUGGAAGCGAACCGAGGGAACUGAAACAUCUAAGUACCUCGAGGAAAAGAAAUCAACCGAGAUUCCGUCAGUAGUGGCGAGCGAAAGCGGAAGAGCCUGCAAGAGAUAACUGCCGCGUUAGUGGAACGAUCUGGAAAGGUCGGCCGUAGUGGGUGAUAGCCCCGUACGCGAAAACCCGGCAGCGAGA